rnacentral:rRNA from 1 species
AACGUAGGACACAAGCGUUGUCCGGAUUUAUUGGGCGUAAAGAGCUCGUAGGUGGUUCGGUAAGUCGGAUGUGAAAUCUCCAGGCUCAACCUGGAGGGGUCAUUCGAUACUGCCGUGACUAGAGGUCGGUAGGGGAGUGUGGAAUUCCUGGUGGAGCGGUGAAAUGCGCAGAUAUCAGGAGGAACACCCGUAGCGAAGGCGGCACUCUGGGCCGAUACUGACACUGAGGAGCGAAAGCGUGGGGAGCGAA